GACGAACGCUGGCGGCGUGCUUAACACAUGCAAGUCGAACGGAAAGGCCCUGCUUUUGUGGGGUGCUCGAGUGGCGAACGGGUGAGUAACACGUGAGUAACCUGCCCUUGACUUUGGGAUAACUUCAGGAAACUGGGGCUAAUACCGGAUAGGAGCUCCUGCUGCAUGGUGGGGGUUGGAAAGUUUCGGCGGUUGGGGAUGGACUCGCGGCUUAUCAGCUUGUUGGUGGGGUAGUGGCUUACCAAGGCUUUGACGGGUAGCCGGCCUGAGAGGGUGACCGGCCACAUUGGGACUGAGAUACGGCCCAGACUCCUACGGGAGGCAGCAGUGGGGAAUAUUGCACAAUGGGCGGAAGCCUGAUGCAGCAACGCCGCGUGCGGGAUGACGGCCUUCGGGUUGUAAACCGCUUUCGCCUGUGACGAAGCGUGAGUGACGGUAAUGGGUAAAGAAGCACCGGCUAACUACGUGCCAGCAGCCGCGGUGAUACGUAGGGUGCGAGCGUUGUCCGGAUUUAUUGGGCGUAAAGGGCUCGUAGGUGGUUGAUCGCGUCGGAAGUGUAAUCUUGGGGCUUAACCCUGAGCGUGCUUUCGAUACGGGUUGACUUGAGGAAGGUAGGGGAGAAUGGAAUUCCUGGUGGAGCGGUGGAAUGCGCAGAUAUCAGGAGGAACACCAGUGGCGAAGGCGGUUCUCUGGGCCUUUCCUGACGCUGAGGAGCGAAAGCGUGGGGAGCGAACAGGCUUAGAUACCCUGGUAGUCCACGCUGUAAACGGUGGGUACUAGGUGUGGGGUCCAUUCCACGGGUUCCGUGCCGUAGCUAACGCUUUAAGUACCCCGCCUGGGGAGUACGGCCGCAAGGCUAAAACUCAAAGGAAUUGACGGGGCCCCGCACAAGCGGCGGAGCAUGCGGAUUAAUUCGAUGCAACGCGUAGAACCUUACCUGGGUUUGACAUGGAUCGGGAGUGCUCAGAGAUGGGUGUGCCUCUUUUGGGGUCGGUUCACAGGUGGUGCAUGGCUGUCGUCAGCUCGUGUCGUGAGAUGUUGGGUUAAGUCCCGCAACGAGCGCAACCCUUGUUCACUGUUGCCAGCACGUUAUGGUGGGGACUCAGUGGAGACCGCCGGGGUCAACUCGGAGGAAGGUGGGGAUGACGUCAAGUCAUCAUGCCCCUUAUGUCCAGGGCUUCACGCAUGCUACAAUGGCUGGUACAGAGAGUGGCGAGCCUGUGAGGGUGAGCGAAUCUCGGAAAGCCGGUCUCAGUUCGGAUUGGGGUCUGCAACUCGACCUCAUGAAGUCGGAGUCGCUAGUAAUCGCAGAUCAGCAACGCUGCGAUGAAUACGUUCCCGGG
rnacentral:rRNA from 1 species